GUGGGGAAUAUUGGACACUGGGCGAAAGCCUGAUCCAGCCAUGCCGCGUGAGUGAUGAAGGCCUUAGGGUUGUAAAGCUCUUUCAGUAGGGAAGAUAAUGACGGUACCUACAGAAGAAGCCCCGGCUAACUUCGUGCCAGCAGCCGCGGUAAUACGAAGGGGGCUAGCGUUGUUCGGAUUUACUGGGCGUAAAGCGCACGUAGGCGGAUUGGUCAGUUAGAGGUGAAAUCCUGGAGCUCAACUCCAGAACUGCCUUUAAUACUGCCAGUCUAGAGUCCAGAAGAGGUGAGUGGAACUCCUAGUGUAGAGGUGGAAUUCGUAGAUAUUAGGAAGAACACCAGUGGCGAAGGCGGCUCACUGGUCUGGUACUGACGCUGAGGUGCGAAAGCGUGGGGAGCAAACAGGAUUAGAUACCCGUGUAGUCC
rnacentral:rRNA from 1 species